rnacentral:tRNA from 1 species
GGCCUGUGGCUCAGUUGGUAGAGCAUGGUGUUUGCAACGCCAGCAUGGUGUGUGCAACGCCAGGGUUGUGGGUUCGAUUCCCACGGGGGGCCA